GCCCGGCCCGAGGCGCGUUAGAGCUCCCGCAGCUUUGUACGCGUUUAUGGAGGUCCCGGCGGCGGUGGCCAGAGCCUGGUUCCGGUUGCAGUCCAGUCUGUCCUUGUCGGAUCUGCACGAGCCCAGAUAAGAGGAAAGACAGAUGGAGAAAAGCUCUUCCCUUCAAGCUACUUCAUGAAUUACAACAAUUUGGUCAUUUACAUCUCUGGGGAAAAUUAAGGCAUUUUUCUGUUUUCUCUGCCUUGUCCCUCCAGAAAUUGCAGGCAUUUGGGUUCUGGACCCUUAUUAGGGAUUAAAUCAUGAGCCACUGAACCUGCUGACCUUCAACACUCGCUGGAAGGACUUCAGGAUGGAAGUCAGAAAUAAGGCCCUCUGUGCUCUGGGAAAAACUGGCAAAACAGGCCUUCAGAGAGUUAGAUAG